CUGUACAUGUAGCCUGCGCCUAUAGCCAACUAGUCUGGCCCCGGACCACUCCCUUGCACGUGAUCUGACAUGUGCCAGGGAGAAGGUCUGGCAUUUAGAGUCACUUUUCUUGGUUCAGAUGUCAACAUUUGUGGGAAAAAGGACAUCUUGGAGCCGAUAUUGGUAUUGAGCAAUAGCCUGAUUUAUGGACUGCAGUGUAUAAUCUCAUAAUAAUUUUUCUUGGCUUAUAGUUAUGUUUAAAUCUCAACAAUUGUAGCCUGCUCCAAUAUGGCCUUUUUCCCAGAGCCUGCCACAUUUCUCCAAUCAGAUUCCCAAGAAUGCAAUUAAACUGUCACAUGAUUCCACUUCACAGAGGAGGUUGAUAGUACUUGACCUUUGUCAUUUUUAAAACUAUGCCAGUAGGCAAUGGCUAACUUAAAUUCCUGUAUACAUCAACUAAAAAUGUUAUUUCAAGUACAGAGAAUCUUUCAAAUCUCACUAAAUCUGUAUAGGACCAGCCAGUUUUAGUAUUGUCACCACGCCCAUUUCCGACACGCCCACUUUUGACUGUCUGAAAACCUGUGACUCUGUUUGCCAGAAGACUCUCUCCCCCCCCCCCCCCCCGGGAGAAGAUAAAAGUACUAAUGAAUCCACCCACGCGAAAACGGUGGUUACCAGGACCUCUAGUGAGAGGGGCUGGGAUCGAGGCUAGCACUUUUUGAUUAUUCUCUUCUUUUGCCAUUAUCUUGGUUUAUUUAAUUAAUUUCAGACCUUCAGUUCUAGCACUCUGUUUUGAGGGUAUUUCUUUCUCCUCUAUGUUCUACUUACUCUGUUGAUUGCCGUGGAGUUCUAUUAUCGCUGACAGAUCAACUCCUCAUUGCAUGCUCAAGCAGCUUCUGUCGUACUUUUGGUCAGAGGGUAUUUCAUGAUCCACCACGACACAAGGUAUACUCUUACAAAUGUGCAUGUAUAUAUAUAUAGACUGUUAUUGGUCGCCUCAACAGAGACCUUCUUUUUCUCAAACAUGCAUGCAAGUGUGUUUUAUCAGGAGCCCAUAAAGAGAAGGAGCGGCCAACUUCAACGUACACUCGGGGAUCACAUCUCGUAAUUGCCGGUGAAACCGCACUUCCUUGUAUGGAAGCGACUAAGUGCUUGCAAACCGCAUCCCUGCAUUGCGUAUAACACGUGUAGGGAUUCAACCACUUAAGUGACCCUGCAUAUAUGGAAAUGCGGUCAUAACCACUUACGAGACGUGAUCCCCGUAGUUAGCCGCUCCUUCUCUUUAUGGGCUCCUGGUUUUAUUGAACUAACUAACUGCAUAAAUUAUUUGUCUUUCUAUUAUACAGGCCAAGUUUGGAAUGGCAGUUGUAGUAAUCGUGCUCAAUACUCUACUGUAAGUGUGACCAUUCAAUGGCCAGCUUAUAAUUAUUAUAAUCCUGUAUAGGGCUUACGUUGGCUAUAGCUCACAGACAUCCAAGUUUGCGUUCUAUAUAUGCUCAUGAUCAUCAUUUCCAACUGUACAAUGUGGCAUGCAGAUAUACUAUUUCAUCACAAACUUAAGGCUGUUUUUGGGGAGCUAAAGUACAGGAAACUAACCAAGACUGCUUUAUUCGGUGCAUGGUCUUCAUAUUCUCUCCUGGGCGUUUGCUUUAAUAUUCUUCUCAAUCGAUGGUAUUGAUUGGGCUGCCUCUGCGGCCGUCUCCAGGGACUACAAUAAAGAGUGCAUUCUGUUUGGAUUCUACGAUGCUCACGAUUUGUGGCACCUUUUUUCGGGGUUUGUGGCAUUUUUCAGCACUAUGCAACUUAUGACUAUGGACGAUGAGCUGGAGAUAUGGCCCAGGGAUAAAAUUAUGACCUUUUGAUCUAACUUGUGCUAUAGUGCAUUUGGCCUGGACAUAUCACGUGACUCCAAUGACCACAAUGCACUGAAUUCGAACUUAUAGUGAUUCAUGCACGCAUGUCGGACCUCCUCUGUGUAAUUGUAUAUAUAGAGCAAUUAUUUUUGCUGUCAACUAGUAUAUAGUGUGUAUAAUUAUAAUUAUAGUGUAUUCUAGCCAAGGAAGCAUUCAGGUGUCGUCCAUGCACUGAUGUAAUAUAAUAAUAUUUAGAAACGUA